rnacentral:rRNA from 1 species
GACGAACGCUGGCGGCGUGCUUAACACAUGCAAGUCGAACGGAAAGGCCUGCUUUCCCUUGUGGCUUGCGGGUACUCGAGUGGCGAACGGGUGAGUAACACGUGAGUGAUCUGCCCCCAACUUGGGUAUAAGCCUGGGAAACUGGGUCUAAUUCCCGAUAGGACUGCAGUGUGGUGCCUGUGGUGGAAAACGAUUUUCUAGUGGUUGGCGAUGAGCUCGCGGCCUAUCAGCUUGUUGGUGGGGUAAUGGACUACCAAGGCGACGACGGGUAGCCGGCCUGGGAGGGUAGACGGCCAGAGAGGGAGUGCGGUACGGCCCAGACUCAGACGGGAGGCAGACGUGGGGAAGAUGGCACAGUGGGGGGAAGUGUGAUGCAGCGAAGACGCGUGGCGGAUGAUGGCGUGUGGGUUGUAAACUCCUUAGGACCGCGAGGAAGCCACCUGGUUGGAAGGAUGGUGACGGUAGUGGUAGAAGAAGCACCGGAUAACUACG